rnacentral:lncRNA from 1 species
CCAUGACCUCAGGCCCCAACUCCUGCUGCCCAAGGAUUUGGAAUUCUUCAGAAGGCCUCAAUCACUUUCAUUUUUCUGUCGUAAAACAGCAGGGAGCUUUGGGUGAAAGAAAUGUAAGAUGUAUAAAACCAAUCAAUGGCAAUGCAGACUUAACACAAAUUUUUCUGUUACUGUAUUUUUUAGAUGAGUAGAUUUUUGGAACUGUACAACAAAAAUGCAAAAUUUAUACUCAAAGAACAAGGAUUCCUUUCUGUCAUUGUGAUAUGUCAACAUAGCUGGCAUAAUUCUCCCUUGUUUCAGAAUUUUUUAUUUCAGUGUAGAAAGAUCAUUCCUUUUAAACAGUUGGGGAAGGAUACUUUUUCCUCUUACAGAACCCAAAAUUUCAUACCCAUUUACAUGUUCUAAAGAAGUUUCCUCUUUAUAAACAUUUUGAGGAAUUACAUGUUUACGUAUGGAAGUUAAAAGAAAUUGAGGGGAACUAAAGUGGAAUCAAAUGGGGCUACUUUAAAAUGCUUUGUAUGUUGAGUUUUUGUUUCCUAGGAGGGUAGAACCAAGGUAUAUGUGGACAAAAACCAGAAAUCAAUUAGUGGAAUUAAAAAUCCGAAGGGGAUUGAAAAUUACUAGUAAUUUAUUUUUUCAAUUUUUCCAACUCAGUCAAGUCCCAUUGGCAUUGAGAUGCAAUUGAUCUUAUUGCCCAUUUCAGGAGAAAUGUUCAAAAUGCAUAGCAAGGCCAAUAACAGUCAUCACAACUGUUACAUGUGACUUAAUAUAUGAGACACUGGUCUCAGGGUUUUGCGAUUAUUGACUAAUUAAAUCUGCAUAACAAUAACAACUCUACAAUUAGGUACUACUACUAUCCCUUUUCAAAGGUGAAGAAAGUGAAGUGCAAAGAUACUGCUGGACUUGCUCAAGGUUACAAAUAUGAUAAAUUGGCAGAGUUGGUUUUGGGUGGAGCCUGGAAUUCGAAUUGUCUCUUUUGUUCUUCCUGAGGUAGGGAGAUGAGAUCAAGGCAUUGAUGCCAGAGCCUGCCUGAUCCAGGUAUGAAAAUUAAGAAUCUUCAGUGUUUUUCACUCACAUAGCACACUAUCCACCACUAUUCCCACCAAUUUGCCUAAGAAAAAC